rnacentral:rRNA from 1 species
GUGCCAGCCGCCGCGGUAAUACCGGCAGUUCGAGUGAUGGCCGAUCUUAUUGGGCCUAAAGCGUUCGUAGCUGGCCACGCAAGUCCGUCGGGAAAUCUACCCGCCUAACGGGUAGGCGUCCGGCGGAAACUGCGUGGCUUGGGACCGGGAGACCCGAGGAGUACGUCCAGGGUAGGAGUGAAAUCCCGUAAUCUUGGACGGACUACCGAUGGCGAAAGCACCUCGGGAGCACGGAUCCGACAGUGAGGAACGAAAGCUGGGGUCUCGAACCGGAUUAGAUACCCCAGUAGUCC